CUCACUAGCGACUCGAAAUUUAAACAACUCAUAUACUAAAAGAUUUUCUGUCAAAAAUGAACGGCAUAAAGCGUGUUUGGAAGUACGCGUUUGUUAUAGCUAUCGCGUUCGGUGUUGCUAGUGAGUGCACAAAUAUUUGUCAUAGCGAAAACUGUGAUUAUUCAGUCAGGAACGAAACAAGAGUGUUGUCUAGAAGCAAAAGGUUUUUAGUGUUCCCAGACGGCAGCUCGCUCCAACUAGUAUUUUGCGUCCAAACAUCAGCAGUCAUACCAAUUGGCGAUAUAUUUCUGUAUGGAAACACAGCAGCAUUGGCGUGGAACUUGCCAACAGAUCCAAAUUUCCUUCGUAUGUUUAAAGAAUAUGAGAAGUACCCACAAAGAAGAGGUGACACGAAAAAUGUUUACUAUUUGGAUGAAGAUGGAAGGGUUAUGGCGAAAGUGCCUUUCACCAGGCCGUCAAUUGUAAACCCUGCAUUCGCAAAACGGAGCGUAAACGACAAAAGCUUCAAAGAGCGAUUGAAAAUUAAAAUAGACCGAAUGAAAAUGCACGAACGACAGAAAAGGCAGUCUCUCAAAAAAGACCUGAAUGAGGAUAGUAUCUCGUUCCACAGAGAUAGCCGCGUUGAGCUGUACCAGAAACUGGAGACAUUAAUUACAACGUUGGGCGGGGAAGGAAGGCAGUGCGUUCUUCGCAAACUAUGCGAGUCGGCGAAACUCACAGGCGUUCAGGGAACAUUCUUACAGGAGGUUAUUCGUGU